rnacentral:rRNA from 1 species
UACGUAGGUGGCAAGCGUUGUCCGGAUUUACUGGGCGUAAAGAGCGCGCAGGCGGUCGUUCAAGUCGCGUGUGAAAGCCCCCGGCUCAACUGGGGAGGGUCACGCGAUACUGAUCGACUCGAAGGCAGGAGAGGGUAGUGGAAUUCCUGGUGUAGCGGUGAAAUGCGCAGAUAUCAGGAGGAACACCGGUGGCGAAGGCGGAUCUCUGGGCCUUACCUGACGCUCAGGCGCGAAAGCGUGGGGAGCAAACAGG